rnacentral:rRNA from 1 species
CAGCAGCCGCGGUAAUACAGAGGGUGCGAGCGUUAAUCGGAUUUACUGGGCGUAAAGCGUGCGUAGGCGGCUUUUUAAGUCGGAUGUGAAAUCCCUGAGCUUAACUUAGGAAUUGCAUUCGAUACUGGGAAGCUAGAGUAUGGGAGAGGAUAAUAGAAUUCCAGGUGUAGCGGUGAAAUGCGUAGAGAUCUGGAGGAAUACCGAUGGCGAAGGCAGCCAUCUGGCCUAAUACUGACGCUGAGGUACGAAAGCAUGGGGAGCAAACAGGAUUAGAUACCCGUGUAGUCCCUGUCUCUUAUAC